AUGCGGAGGGGACAAGCGUUAUUCGGAAUCACUGGGCGUAAAGGACGCGUAGGCGGGUUAUUAAGUCGGGUGUGAAAUCCAAUGGCUCAACCAUUGAACUGCAUUCGAAACUGAUAACCUAGAGUAUGGAAGGGGCAGGUGGAAUUAGUGGUGUAGGGGUAAAAUCCGUAGAUAUCACUAGGAAUACCGAAAGCGAAGGCGACCUGCUGGGACAUUACUGACGCUGAGGCGUGAAAGCGUGGGGAGCAAACAGGAUUAGAAACCCCGGUAGUCC
rnacentral:rRNA from 1 species